ACCUGAAUCUGCCUUUGAGCGGGGGACAACAUUUGCAAACGAAUGCUAAUACCGCAUAAAAACUUUAAACACAAGUUUUAAGUUUGAAAGAUGCAAUUGCAUCACUCAAAGAUGAUCCCGCGUUGUAUUAGCUAGUUGGUGAGGUAAAGGCUCACCAAGGCGAUGAUACAUAGCCGACCUGAGAGGGUGAUCGGCCACAUUGGGACUGAGACACGGCCCAAACUCCUACGGGAGGCAGCAGUAGGGAAUCUUCGGCAAUGGACGAAAGUCUGACCGAGCAACGCCGCGUGAGUGAAGAAGGUUUUCGGAUCGUAAAACUCUGUUGGUAGAGAAGAACGUUGGUGAGAGUGGAAAGCUCAUCAAGUGACGGUAACUACCCAGAAAGGGACGGCUAACUACGUGCCAGCAGCCGCGGUAAUACGUAGGUCCCGAGCGUUGUCCGGAUUUAUUGGGCGUAAAGCGAGCGCAGGUGGUUUAUUAAGUCUGGUGUAAAAGGCAGUGGCUCAACCAUUGUAUGCAUUGGAAACUGGUAGACUUGAGUGCAGGAGAGGAGAGUGGAAUUCCAUGUGUAGCGGUGAAAUGCGUAGAUAUAUGGAGGAACACCGGUGGCGAAAGCGGCUCUCUGGCCUGUAACUGACACUGAGGCUCGAAAGCGUGGGGAGCAAACAGGAUUAGAUACCCUGGUAGUCCACGCCGUAAACGAUGAGUGCUAGAUGUAGGGAGCUAUAAGUUCUCUGUAUCGCAGCUAACGCAAUAAGCACUCCGCCUGGGGAGUACGACCGCAAGGUUGAAACUCAAAGGAAUUGACGGGGGCCCGCACAAGCGGUGGAGCAUGUGGUUUAAUUCGAAGCAACGCGAAGAACCUUACCAGGUCUUGACAUACUCGUGCUAUUCCUAGAGAUAGGAAGUUCCUUCGGGACACGGGAUACAGGUGGUGCAUGGUUGUCGUCAGCUCGUGUCGUG
rnacentral:rRNA from 1 species